UCAAUGUAGCUGGAGAUGAGUGUCACCCAAAUUUUCUAAUGUCCAAAUAUAUUGCAGGAUAUUUGUUUACACUGUGUGAAAAUGUGUCUGUGUUUUGCCUCACCUGCCUAAGGCACCUGAACAGCCAAUAACUAGGCGGGAGAGAAUAGUCAGGAUUUCUGGGGAGAGAGAGGAAUGGUGGGAGCAAGAAAGGAGGAGAUGCCAGCGAGACGAGGAGGGAGUUGGACACACAGAAUGGUGAAGAGGUAAAAAGCCACGUGGCAGAAUGAAGAUUGAUAGAAAUGGGUUAAGUUGUAAGAGCUAGUUGGGAACAAGCCUAAGCUAAAGGUCAGACUUUCAUAAUUAAUAAUAAGUCUCUAUGUCAUUAUUGGGAGCUGGUGGUUCCAAAAGGAAGUCUGACAAGAAAGUCCUGUUACACAAGCAGUUAUUUCCUUAGACAUCAGCACAAGUUUGAGGUACAAAACAAGAAUAUAAGAGUCUAUCUCCUGAGGUUUUAGAGCACAGGAGGUAUUACAAGUAACCCGACACCAUCUUUUUCUCUAGGCUGAAGGCAAUCUUUGAUCAGUGUCUUUUUAACUAAUGAAGUUGCCUGGUUUUGGUCCUCCUUCAUUUCUUCAUCUUCAGGAACUCAUCAUGGGAAGACUCUGUAACCAAUUUGAAUCUUUAGUCAUAAUUCUUGACUUUUUGGCUCGGACAAGUCAUUUCUCCAACCCUUAGUUAUAAGGGCACCACAAGGUGUGGCUGAUUGGACUAAGGGGUAGAAUGCCUGACUUACCACAGCUCCCAAUGCCACUAGAACAAAUGAAGAGGUGUUGGAGAGAUGGGAAAGAUGGAGGAGCAAGGCAUGAAGGCUUUGUGUGAUAUCGAAAUGGCUGGAAUUUUAGGUCUCCAGGCACGUCAGAGGUUCUAUUCUUGAGCAGGAGUUUUCCCUUAAAGGGCCUCGACUACCAGUGUAACAAGUUCAGAAGCGAGUGCAGUUUGUCUACCCCGACUCUCAGGAGCUAGAAGAAAGCAAUGAUGUUAAGAGCCAACUUUAGCCGGGUGGUGGUGGCGGCGGCGG